AUUGGUCAAUAGCCUAACGGNUGAACCAGCAACUUGGAGGAAUGUAUAGCAAUAGCUACUUGCAUCAGUACAAGGAUGAUGCAAGAUCGACUAUGUUGAAUAAAAUUCUAGGUAGAAUUAUGAUAAUGACAUUGUCUGCCUAUGUGUCUUGACCAAAUUACGUGCCAGCAGUCGCGGUAAUACGUAGAAGACUAGUGUUAUUCAUGUUUAAUCGGUUUAAAGGGUACCUAGACGGUAAAUCAAGCUUUCUCAUAAGAAAUGUACUAAUUUACUAGAGUUACUUACGGUGGGGCAUUAAAGUACUGUUGGUGUAGAGAUGAAAUUCUAUCAUACCUCUUUUCGAAAGAAAAAUCAUGGCACUGGUAUAGGCGAAGGCAUCCCCUUAUGUGAUAACUGACGUUGAGGGACGAAGGCUUCAUGUAACAAACAGGAUUAGAUACCCUAUUAGUUGAAGCAGAAAAUGAUGAAUGUCAUAGACUAGAUAUCUAAGUUUAUUCUAUAAAUGAAAGUGUAAGCAUUCCACCUCAUGAGUAAUUUGGCAACAUUGGAAUUGAAAUCAUUAGACCGUUUCUGAAACCAGUAGUGAAGUAUGUUGUUUAAUUUGAUAACCCGCAAAAAACCUUACCACAACUUGAAUAUUUAUAUUUAUUAUUGUUUUUUCUUUUUUUCUUAUUUCUUUUAGAUAAAAGAAAUGAAAAAAAAUUAUAAAAGCAAAAAGAUAUCUUUACAAGUGUUGCACGGCUGUCUUCAGUUAAUGUCGCGAGACUAUGGUUAGUUCCAUUAAUUAACGUAAACCCUUAGCUUUAUUUUUA
rnacentral:rRNA from 1 species